UGGUUCUGGCAUCGAUGAAGAACGCAGCGAAAUGCGAUAAGUAAUGUGAAUUGCAGAAUUCAGUGAAUCAUCGAAUCUUUGAACGCACAUUGCGCCCCGUGGUAUUCCGCGGGGCAUGCCUGUCCGAGCGUCAUGAUGACCAAAUCACGCGCCCGCGUGGUAUUGGGGCUGGCAGCCGUGCCGCCCUCAAACGCAGUGGCAGCGCCGUGUGGCCCUGAGCGUAGUAAUACUCCUCGCUAUAGGGUCCCGCGGCAGCCCGCCAGCAACACCAAUCCUUCUGGGUUGACCUCGGAUCAGGUAGGGAUACCCGCUGA
rnacentral:misc_RNA from 1 species